rnacentral:lncRNA from 1 species
AUGGGAAUAAUAGCACUUUUCCUCCCUACCUUCAGAGAGAUGAGAAUCUCUCUGAGAAUCAGAGAGAUGCUAUUUAUGGAAAGACAAUAUAACCACAAAUCCCUGCCUGUAUACUAUAUGGUGAAUAGUCUGUCAUUACAGGAGGUGGCAUGCUGCUAUGGACAAAGUACUGGGAAAAAAAAUCAGGAGACCUGGGAUCCACUCCUGGCUGAGCUGAAAAAUCUCUUCAUGUUGGGACAUCCAAGAUGCUCUAGACUCAUACAACCUGUGAGUCAGAAAGAUAGAUUUCCAAGAAACCAGAACAGGCAUAGACACUCCCUCCCUCAUUCUCAGAUACAUGGGAAAUAUGUUCGCUUUCCUGACCUCAGAGGACUUCACAGCAAAGAAGUGGUCAGAGAAAACCCUGAAGAGCUUAAGGAGCAGCAAUGCAGGGGAAGGCAGCUUUCAGGUGAACACGCUCCCUGGGAAAUUCAGUUGCCUGCGGGAAUUUCAGGGGAGCAUCCCAGCAACCCCCAUGUCCCAUCACCACUUGUCCACAUAAGAAGUCAGGACCCUCCUCUCUUUUUCUGUAACUUUAUCACCCCUGGCUCUAAUUUUUCUCUGAAAUCUGUGGCUCUGGUCACCAUUGAUCCAUCCCGUCUUUUCCAUGUGCGUUGUGGUCUCAGCUGUCUCUCUUCCAGAAUGAUCCAUUGGAAGCCAGGCCCAUGCCCCAUACCUAUGCACUUUCCGCAGUGUUUCACACACUGCUUAAUAACUGAGUCAAAGGAUUGGUCCUCCAUGCCUACACAUACGGAGCUCUGA